rnacentral:rRNA from 1 species
AUAUUGCACAAUGGGCGGAAGCCUGAUGCAGCGACGCCGCGUGGGGGAUGACGGCCUUCGGGUUGUAAACCUCUUUCAGUGCAGAACAAGGCUCUUUGUGGGUUGAGGGUAUGCGCAGAAGAAGCGCCGGCUAACUCCGUGCCAGCAGCCGCGGUAAUACGUAGGGCGCGAGCGUUGUCCGGAGUUAUUGGGCGUAAAGAGCUCGUAGGCGGUUUGUCGCGCCUGCUGUGAAAUCCUCUGGCUUAACUGGGGGCGUGCAGUGGGUACGGGCAGACUGGAGUGCGGUAGGGGAGACUGGAAUUCCUGGUGUAGCGGUGGAAUGCGCAGAUAUCAGGAGGAACACCGGUGGCGAAGGCGGGUCUCUGGGCCGUUACUGACGCUAAGGAGCGAAAGCAUGGGGAGCGAACAG